rnacentral:rRNA from 1 species
GACGAACGCUGGCGGCGUGCUUAACACAUGCAAGUCGAGCGGUAAGGCCCUUUCGGGGGUACACGAGCGGCGAACGGGUGAGUAACACGUGGGUGACCUGCCCUUAGCUCUGGGAUAAGCCUGGGAAACUGGGUCUAAUACCGGAUAUGACUCCAUGACGCAUGUUGUGGGGUGGAAAGCCUUGUGCGGCUAGGGAUGGGCCCGCGGCCUAUCAGCUUGUUGGUGGGGUGAUGGCCUACCAAGGCGACGACGGGUAGCCGGCCUGAGAGGGCGACCGGCCACACUGGGACUGAGACACGGCCCAGACUCCUACGGGAGGCAGCAGUGGGGAAUCUUGCGCAAUGGGCGAAAGCCUGACGCAGCGAUGCCGCGUGGGGA